GGAUAGUUGUGGAUCAGCACACAAAAGGGAUUAUCAAUCUAAGGGCUUUUCAAUCUUAAUCGAUUUGCUGAGCUGCUGCUGCUUCUCAAGUGAGUAGUCUUCACGGUUAUUAUUGAUAUGCUACUUUGUCAGGAUACAAAAGGGCUUUUCAUCGAUUUCUUCAUUGCUGAGUUGCUUCUUCUCCUCAGGCGAGUCUUGACGGUUGUUAU
rnacentral:lncRNA from 1 species